ensembl:snRNA U6 U6 spliceosomal RNA
GCGCUCGUCUCGGCAGCACACAUACUAAAAUUGUAAAGAUACAGAGGUUAGCAUGACCCCGCACAAGGAGGGCACGAAAAUUCAUGGAGCAUUCCAUACUAAA